AGAGUUUGAUCCUGGCUCAGAAUCAACGCUGGCGGCGUGCCUCAGACAUGCAAGUCGAACGCGAAAGUUCCCUUCGGGGAGCAAGUAGAGUGGCGCACGGGUGAGUAACACGUAGGUAAUCUACCUUUGGAUUGGGAAUAACACCGAGAAAUCGGUGCUAAUACCGAAUAAUGCAGCGGCACCUAAUGGUGACAGUUGUUAAAGCGGGGGAUCGCAAGACCUCGCGUCUAAAGAGGAGCCUGCGGCGGAUUAGCUAGUUGGUAAGGUAACGGCUUACCAAGGCGAUGAUCCGUAGCCGGCCUGAGAGGGCGGUCGGCCACACUGACACUGACAUACGGGUCAGACUCCUACGGGAGGCAGCAGUCGGGAAUUUUGGGCAAUGGGCGAAAGCCUGACCCAGCAACGCCGCGUGAAGGAUGAAAUCCCUCGGGAUGUAAACUUCGCAAGAACGGGAAGAAUAAGUGAGAGUUAACACCUCUUACGAUGACGGUACUGUUUGUAAGCUCCGGCUAACUCCGUGCCAGCAGCCGCGGUAAUACGGGGGGAGCAAGCGUUGUUCGGAUUUACUGGGCGUAAAGGGCGCGUAGGCGGCCACCGCAAGUCGACUGUGAAAUCUCCGGGCUUAACUCGGAAAAGGUCAGCCGAUACUGCGGGGCUAGAGUGCAGAA
rnacentral:rRNA from 1 species